rnacentral:rRNA from 1 species
GACGAACGCUGGCGGCGUGCUUAACACAUGCAAGUCGAGCGGUAAGGCCCUUUCGGGGGUACACGAGCGGCGAACGGGUGAGUAACACGUGGGUGACCUGCCCUCAGCUCUGGGAUAAGCCUGGGAAACCGGGUCUAAUACUGGAUAUGACUCCAUGACGCAUGUUGUGGGGUGGAAAGCCUUGUGCGGCUGAGGAUGGGCCCGCGGCCUAUCAGCUUGUUGGUGGGGUGANGGCCUACCAAGGCGACGACGGGUAGCCGGCCUGAGAGGCGACCGGCCACACUGGGACUGAGACACGGCCCAGACUCCUACGGGAGGCAGCAGUGGGGAAUCUUGCGCAAUGGGCGAAAGCCUGACGCAGCGACGCCGCGUGAGGGAUGACGGCCUC